UUAAAUUCAGGGGGUCUUCCCACUUCAUCUGAGGUCUAAUUCAUAGAUGCACAAACUUGUUCACCCAGACACUAACCUCAAACAGCAAACAAGUCACUGCUUGAAGCCAGCGUCUCGGCUCACUCCUUUGUUCAUUUGUUUCUUUUGGCUUCACAACAUAGGGUCCGUGGAUUGGAUUCACAAUUAAGUGAAAGCAACUU
rnacentral:misc_RNA from 1 species